CUCUCUCUCUCUCUCUCUCUCCCCUUUUUCUUUUAUAAUGUUCCAGCUAUACUCUUCACAAUUUCAGGGCUCAACCUCAAUCUUGAAGGUCUCCCCUCCUGAUUUCUUCCCAAACAUUUGAGCCCGUUUUGUUUCUUUUAUCAGAUUGUUAGCACAGCACACAAGAUCAACUUUGAUUUUAUAGUUUGUUAGCAAUGGCUUCUCCACCAGAUACAAGCAAGACCUUAAAGCUUGAGAGGUACAACAGCUACCUUCGCAAGAUUCAAAAUACUAAAGUCCUUAAUGCCUCCUCUAAGCUCCUCUUUCGUGCCACUCUCCUUAUUGCUCUUGUUCUUGUUCU
rnacentral:misc_RNA from 1 species